UUUUUGGCUUUGGAAAGUGUUUAGUUUUUUCUAUGUUUUACAUGAGAGUUUCAGCUUUCCAAUAUUUUGAGUAGCUCUUAAAGAGUUUUGGUGUAGCUUCAGUGAAAAGUAUUAAUUGUUUCAAAUAAUUUUGGAUUUAGAAAUAGAAGUAAGACAAGGCUAAUUGUGUGCCAGCUGCUGCGGUUAUACAUUUUUUUCUAAUUAAAUUUUUUGGGAGAAAAUAAGUUUAAGGAAAAGGGGUUGGAGAAAAUUUUUUUGUUUUUCGGUAAAAUGAAAAUUUUUUUUUUUUAGUUCUCUGGGUGUUGAUUUAUGGCUUUAAAGUUUUAAGCAAAAACUGGGAUUAGAUACCCCAUUAUUUUAAAAUUAUAAUUUUUGUCCUAGGUAUUAUUGUUGUUAAAAACCUAAAAAGCUUGGCGGUUCUUUAUAUCCUUUUAGGGGAGCUUGUUCUGUAAUUGAUAAUCCUCGUUUUAUUUUACUUUUUCUACUUGUUUGUAUACUUCUGUCGUCAGCUUACUUUUUAGAACGUUAAAGUUGGCUUUAGAGCUUAUGCUUUUACGUCAAGUCAAAGUGCAGCUUAUGGAAAAGAAGAGAUGAGCUACAUUUGGUUAAUUUUUUGGAUAAAAAUUGAAAAUUUUUUUGAAAUUGGACUUAAUAGUAAACUAUUUUUAGAGAGGUUGUUUGAAUUAGGCUUGAAGUGUGCACAAAUCGCCCGUCGCUCUUUCUGAUAAGAAAGAUAAGUCGUAACAUAGUAGUUGUAACGGAAGUUGCUGCUAGUUU
rnacentral:ncRNA from 1 species